AUGAACCAAAUGUUGGUUCUCAGCAAAGAGGCCCAUGAUUGGCUAGAUGAGUUGGAUCCUAAAACAUGGGUCAGCGCUUAUCAAAAUGAUUUCGCAAAGUGUGAUGUGCUGCUCAAUAACAAUUGUGAAGUCUUCAACAGAUACAUCCUGGAAGCUAGGGAAAUGCCAAUCAUAAGCAUGUGCCAGAGGAUCAAGGGCCAGAACAUGGGAAGGAAUUAUGGAAAACAACAAGAGGCCUUGAAGUGGCAUGAUACUCAGAGAGCACAGGGCCACGGUCAAUCACCUCCUUCAUGUGACAAAUGA
rnacentral:rRNA from 1 species